rnacentral:rRNA from 1 species
UACGUAGGGGGCAAGCGUUAUCCGGAUUUACUGGGUGUAAAGGGAGCGUAGACGGACUUGCAAGUCUGAUGUGAAAAUCCGGGGCCCAACCCCGGAACUGCAUUGGAAACCGUAUAUCUAGAGUGUCGGAGAGGCAAGUGGAAUUCCUGGUGUAGCGGUGAAAUGCGUAGAUAUCAGGAGGAACACCAGUGGCGAAGGCGGCUUGCUGGACGAUGACUGACGUUGAGGCUCGAAAGCGUGGGGAGCAAACAGG